UCCGUAGGCGGGCAAUUAAGUCAGAGGUGAAAUCCCACAGCUCAACUGUGGAACUGCCUUUGAUACUGGUUGUCUUGAGUUACAGUGAAGUAGAUAGAAUAUGUAGUGUAGCGGUGAAAUGCAUAGAUAUUACAUAGAAUACCGAUUGCGAAGGCAGUCUACUAACUGUAUACUGACGCUAAUGGACGAAAGCGUGGGGAGCGAACAGGAUUAGAUACCCUGGGAGUCC
rnacentral:rRNA from 1 species